rnacentral:ncRNA from 1 species
AAUCCAGUCCGUCUAAGACUUAACCAGUCAGCGGUAACGAGUCUUGAGUAGGUAGUUGGUAACAAUGCCUGCUAAGCGUAGACAGUGAGGAAGUAGGGUUACAUGGCAAAUACGACCCCGAAAUCGGCAUCUUCUGGGAAGUCGACACAAUCCGCAGGUGGAAGACAAUAUGCGCACAUCCGAUUUGGUGAGGAGGUGCGUGUCCCACGGGGCAUUAGU